AAAAAGAUAAGCUAAGUUUAAGCUUACGGGCUCAUACCCCGUCUAUGAAGAUAUUCUUCUCUUUUUA
rnacentral:tRNA from 1 species